rnacentral:lncRNA from 1 species
GUUGUAGCACCAAAACGUUGAGAUGAAUUACGACUGUAACACGGAAUCGUCGAGAUGGAUUUCGAUUGUAGCACUGAAAUAUUGAGAUGAAUUACAAUUGUAUCACAAAAUUGUUGAGAUGAAUUUCGAUUUGUAGUGUCAAAUGUUAAGAAGAAAUUGGGGGAAGAAGAAAUUGGGGGAAGAAGAAAUUAGGGUUCUUGUUUAGUUGGAUUGGAGAGAGAACG